GAUGAAGAACGCAGCGAAAUGCGAAAAGUAAUGUGAAUUGCAGAAUUCAGUGAACCAUCGAAUCUUUGAACGCACAUUGCGCCCGCUGGAACUCCGGCGGGCACGCCUGUCCGAGCGUCAUUUCAACCCUCAGGCCCCCCUUCGCGGGCGGGCCUGGUGUUGGGGCCCGGCCGCUACCCUGCGGCCGUCCCCUAAAUCCAGUGGCGGCCUCGCCGUGAUCCCUUGCGUAGUAAUGCACCUCGCACCGGAGAGCGCCGUGGCCACGCCGCAAAACCCCCAAUUUUCAAUGGUUGACCUCGGAUCAGGUGGGAAUACCCGCUGAACUUAAGCAUAUCAAUAAGCGGAGGA
rnacentral:misc_RNA from 1 species